rnacentral:rRNA from 1 species
GACGAAGGGGGCUAGCGUUGUUCGGAAUUACUGGGCGUAAAGGGCGCGUAGGCGGUUUGUACAGUCAGGCGUGAAAUUCCUGGGCUCAACCUGGGGGCUGCGUUUGAUACGUGCAGACUUGAGUUCGGAAGAGGGUCGUGGAAUUCCCAGUGUAGAGGUGAAAUUCGUAGAUAUUGGGAAGAACACCGGUGGCGAAGGCGGCGACCUGGUCCGAUACUGACGCUGAGGCGCGAAAGCGUGGGGAGCAAACAGG